UACAGAGGUCUCAAGCGUUGUUCGGAUUCAUUGGGCGUAAAGGGUGCGUAGGUGGCGCCGUAAGUCGGGUGUGAAAUUUCGGAGCUUAACUCCGAAACUGCAUUCGAUACUGCGGUGCUUGAGGACUGGAGAGGAGACUGGAAUUCAUGGUGUAGCAGUGAAAUGCGUAGAGAUCAUGAGGAAGACCAGUGGCGAAGGCGGGGUCUCUGGACAGUUCCUGACACUGAGGCACGAAGGCCCAGGGGGAGCAAAACGGG
rnacentral:rRNA from 1 species